rnacentral:rRNA from 1 species
ACCCGAAACCAGGUGAUCUACCCUUGGUCAGGUUGAAGUUCAGGUAACACUGAAUGGAGGACCGAACCGACUUACGUUGAAAAGUGAGCGGAUGAACUGAGGGUAGCGGAGAAAUUCCAAUCGAACCUGGAGAUAGCUGGUUCUCUCCGAAAUAGCUUUAGGGCAAGCCUCAAGUGCUGAUUAUUGGAGGUAGAGCACUGUUUGGACGAGGGGCCCCUCUCGGGUUACCGAAUUCAGACAAACUCCGAAUGCCAAUUCAUUUAACUUGGGAGUCAGAACAUGGGUGAUAAGGUCCGUGUUCGAAAGGGAAACAGCCCAGACCACCAGCUAAGGUCCCAAAAUAUAUGUUAAGUGGAAAAG